rnacentral:rRNA from 1 species
GACGAACGCUGGCGGCGUGCUUAACACAUGCGAGUCGAACGGAAAGGCCCUGCUUUUGUGGGGUGCUCGAGUGGCGAACGGGUGAGUAACACGUGAGUAACCUGCCCUUGACUUUGGGAUAACUUCAGGAAACUGGGGCUAAUACCGGAUAGGAGCUCCUGCUGCAUGGUGGGGGUUGGAAAGUUUCGGCGGUUGGGGAUGGACUCGCGGCUUAUCAGCUUGUUGGUGGGGUAGUGGCUUACCAAGGCUUUGACGGGUAGCCGGCCUGAGAGGGUGACCGGCCACAUUGGGACUGAGAUACGGCCCAGACUCCUACGGGAGGCAGCAGUGGGGAAUAUUGCACAAUGGGCGGAAGCCUGAUGCAGCAACGCCGCGUGCGGGAUGACGGCCUUCGGGUUGUAAACCGCUUUCGCCUGUGACGAAGCGUGAGUGACGGUAAUGGGUAGAGAAGCACCGGCGAACUACGU